rnacentral:rRNA from 1 species
GAUGAACGCUGGCGGCGUGCCUAAUACAUGCAAGUCGAGCGAACGGACGAGAAGCUUGCUUCUCUGAUGUUAGCGGCGGACGGGUGAGUAACACGUGGAUAACCUACCUAUAAGACUGGGAUAACUUCGGGAAACCGGAGCUAAUACCGGAUGAUAUUUUGAACCGCAUGGUUCAAAAGUGAAAGACGGUCUUGCUGUCACUUAUAGAUGGAUCCGCGCUGCAUUAGCUAGUUGGUAAGGUAACGGCUUACCAAGGCAACGAUGCAUAGCCGACCUGAGAGGGUGGUCGGCGCCACUGGAACUGAGACACGGUCCAGACUCCUACGGGAGGCAGCAGUAGGGAAUCUUCCGCAAAGGGCGAAAGCCUGACGGAGCAACGCCGCGUGAGUGAUGAAGGUCUUCGGAUCGUAAAACUCUGUUAUUAGGGAAGAACAUAUGUGUAAGUAACUGUGCACAUCUUGACGGUACCUACUCAGAAAGCCACGGCUAACUACGUG